GUGAAUUAAUACCCCAUAAUAUAUAUCUUAGGCAUCUUUGAUAUAUUAAAGCUCCGGCGGUUAGAGAUGGGCAUGCGGGACAUUAGCUUGUUGGUAAGGUAACGGCUUACCAAGGCUGCGAUGUCUAGGGGGUCUGAGAGGACUAUCCCCCACACUGGUACUGAGACACGGACCAGACUCCUACGGGAGGCAGCAGUGAGGAAUAUUGCGCAAUGGAGGAAACUCUGACGCAGCCAUGCCGCGUGCAGGAAUAAGGCCCUAUGGGUUGUAAACUGCUUUUAUACGGGAAGAAAUAUAUCUACGUGUAGAUAUUUGACGGUACCGUACGAAUAAGGAUCGGCUAACUCCGUGCCAGCAGCCGCGGUAAUACGGAGGAUCCAAGCGUUAUCCGGAUUUAUUGGGUUUAAAGGGUCCGCAGGCGGGAAAAUUAAGUCAGUGGUGAAAUCCUACGGCUUAACUGUAGAACUGCCAUUGAUACUGGUUUUCUUGAGUACACCUGAAGUGGGCGGAAUGUGUCAUGUAGCGGUGAAAUGCUUAGAUGUGACACAGAGCACCGAUUGCGAGGGCGGCUCACUAAAGUGUCACUGACG
rnacentral:rRNA from 1 species